rnacentral:lncRNA from 1 species
AUACCCUUCUACUUAGGAAGCACCAGCUGAAGGCCUAAUAACCUCUGGGAGUCUGUGCUGGAGGCAAGGCCCAGGCCUGGGGCUAAAGUUCUCUACUUUCCAAUCCGGAGAUUCUCAGAGACCCUGUUCCGGGUGCAGAGAUACUGAGACACAGGGGGCCAACGUUCCUGAGCCCACCACUUUAAGAAGAGAGUGUGAACACAGUUUCCCACUGCCAAAGAUUAUGCAGUUGAGUUCUCCACAUUUGGGGAAAUUGCAGGGAUCAGCACAUCCAGAGUGCAAUGAAUAAGCCUCACCCUGGGAAAAUCACCUUUGUGAUGAUGGUAUUUCACCUCCUAGAAAGAAUCUACAAAAUUUAUGAAGAAGUAGGUUGUAAGGAGCUACUUAAGCAAGAAUAUCUUUCUGGCUGGAGAGACAUGGUUCUUCAUGGAGUCUACAGACAGGGAACAUCCUUUUCGAAC